ensembl:lncRNA
CCGAGGGGGUGGGGCGCCGGAAGUGCGUACGUUCGGGGCCUUGAGACUCGCGAGCGCGUUUUCCGGUCUGGCUGCGCCUUGCGUGUUUCGGGUCGUAGUUUGCUCUGGGAGCCGGCGAGGCUCUGGGGCGGGCCGUUGACCUGUUCUCGCUCUCAGCCCGAGCUCCUGGGACGGUGCCGCGCGCCGGGCGUCAGUGUAGGACAGAUGCACAUAGGCCAAGGACAAAAGCACGUCUACUGGCAACCGCAGCACUGCAGAGAAGUGCGGCUAAAACAGCGCUGGGGGGGCUCUGCCCCUUCUGCUGGCGGCUCCGCGGCGGAGGGCCGGUGGCUGCGGAGACGCAGUCCUUACCCCACGACCGGGAAGCAGAUGCUACACCGCGCGGCAGCGUUGGUGCUGGAUGGGCCCUGGAGCCUGCAGUGUCCCAAGUGGAGUGCUGCCUGCAUGUCACACGUGUAAGGGUCAAACCUCUGUUCUUCUGCUUUGUUCCGGUUAAAAGCAUUCAUCAUGUUAGGUGACUGCUACUCUGGGCCUGGCCCCGUGCCACCUGCAGAAGGAGGCAAAAGGUCAAAUCCAGAAUGUGGAAUUUUCUCUUGCACACAUGAGUCAGUUAUUAGUUAGGGGCUUGAAGGGAAAAUAAAAAGUAGGACGGAUAAUAAAAGCAUAAAAACAUAAUGGAGUGGAAUGCGUAGACUUUAUUUGCAUCACGAUAGAACAAACCAACUGUAAAAAAAAAAAAAAAAAAAACACGUCUGUGUGGUUCCUGUCAAUACAAACCCAACUAGUAUGCAUGAGAACUCAGGUUCCAUCCCUGGCCCAGCAGAGUGGUUUAAGGAUCCAGCAUUGCCGUGAGCUGUGGUGUUGGUUGAAGAUGUGACUCAGAUCUGCUGUGGCUGUGGCGUAGACCAGCUCUUUCAACCCCUAGCGCCGGAAUGUCUAUAUGUCACAGGUGCAACCCUUAAAAAAAAAAAAAAAAAAGUUGUGAGACGGGGAAAUUUGAACAUAAACAGUGUUGGCUGUUAGCUAGGGUUACCAAUACUUUUGUUAGGGAGAGAUGGCCUAAAUGGUUAGGUUAAAAAAGGCCCCCAUCGUUUAUAUAGAAGUAUUUACUGUAAGUUGUCACAGUGUCUGUCAUUUAUUUGCUUUGUAAUAUGCUGAUUACUCAGGUUAAAAAAAAAGGGUUGGGAAAAUGCCAAAGGCAAAAUGCCAGUAGUAGUUGAAGCUGGAUGAUGAGUCACGUGGAGGUAGUGACUUUUCCUCACUGGCCGUGACUUUGGACAAGUCCUUUACUUGCUCUCAGUGUUGGCUCUCAGCGCUCGUCCACUUGCUUGUCAAGCUGGGAUUCUUCCGUUUCCUGGGAGAUUGGAAAGAGGUGCAAGUGUCAUUUCCUAACACUUCGUGGGGCUCACGGGAAUCUGAUGGGGAUCCUGCCAUAAACAGCUCAGAGUGCGGCAUGAGGAAGGUCAGCCCUUAGAGCUGCUGUGUCCUGAGACAGACCAGCACUGGCCCUCGAAGUGGCAGUGCUUCUGGUACACCUGAACCCCUGGUCAGCCAAGAGGUGGCAUCCUGGAUCCACAUCUGAAACGAUGGAUUUUCAGAGUUCCCGGUCGUGGCUCAGUGGAAACGAAUCCGGCUAGGAACCGUGAGGUUGUGGAUUCGAUCCCUGGCCUUGCUCAGGGGGUUAAGGAUCUGGCGUUGCGUGAGCUGUGGUGUAGGUCACAGACUCAGCUUGGAUCUCGUGUUGCUGUGGUUGUGGUGUAGGCCGGCGGCUACAGCUCCUGUUCACCCCCUAACCUGGGAACCUCCAUAUGCAGUGAAAGUGGCCCUAAAAAG